AGGACGAACGCUGGCGGCGUGCUUAACACAUGCAAGUCGAGCGGAAAGGCCCUUCGGGGUACUCGAGCGGCGAACGGGUGAGUAACACGUGAGCAAUCUGCCCUUAGCUUCGGGAUAGCCCCGGGAAACCGGGAUUAAUACCGAAUAUGACCUCGGCCGACAUCGGCUUUGGUGGAAAGUUUUUCGGCUAGGGAUGAACUCGCGGCCUAUCAGCUUGUUGGUGGGGUAAUGGCCUACCAAGGCGACGACGGGUAGCCGGCCUGAGAGGGCGACCGACCACACUGGGACUGAGACACGGCCCAGACUCCUACGGGAGGCAGCAGUGGGGAAUAUUGCGCAAUGGGCGAAAGCCUGACGCAGCGACGCCGCGUGGGGGAUGAAGGCCUUCGGGUUGUAACCCUUUCAGCAGGGACGAAGCGAGAGUGACGGUACCUGCAGAAGAAGCGCCGGCUAACUACGUGCCAGCAGCCGC
rnacentral:rRNA from 1 species